rnacentral:rRNA from 1 species
CACGUAGGCACCAAGCGUUGUCCGGAUUUACUGGGCGUAAAGAGCGUGUAGGCGGCCAGGUAGGUCUGCUGUGAAAACUCGAGGCUCAACCUCGAGACGCCGAUGGAAACCAUCUGGCUAGAGUCCGGAAGAGGAGAGUGGAAUUCCUGGUGUAGCGGUGAAAUGCGCAGAUAUCAGGAAGAACACCCGUGGCUAAGGCGGCUCUCUAGUACGGUACUGACGCUGAGACGCGAAAGCGUGGGGGAGCGAACAGG